rnacentral:rRNA from 1 species
AGUGAACGCUGGCGGUAGGGCUAACACAUGCAAGUCGAACGGCAGCACAGUAAGAGCUUGCUCUUACGGGUGGCGAGUGGCGGACGGGUGAGGAAUACAUCGGAAUCUACUUUUUCGUGGGGGAUAACGUAGGGAAACUUACGCUAAUACCGCAUACGACCUACGGGUGAAAGCAGGGGAUCUUCGGACCUUGCGCGAUUGAAUGAGCCGAUGUCGGAUUAGCUAGUUGGCGGGGUAAAGGCCCACCAAGGCGACGAUCCGUAGCUGGUCUGAGAGGAUGAUCAGCCACACGGGAACUGAGACACGGUCCAGACUCCUACGGGAGGCAGCAGUGGGGAAUAUUGGACAAUGGGUGCAAGCCUGAUCCAGCCAUACCGCGUGGGUGAAGAAGGCCUUCGGGUUGUAAAGCCCUUUUGUUGGGAAAGAAAAGCAGCAGGUUAAUACCCCGCUGUUCUGACGGUACCCAAAGAAUAAGCACCGGCUAACUUCGUG